rnacentral:rRNA from 1 species
GCCCCCCUAAACAAUUUCAAUAAUUCAACAUUUAUACCCCUUAAUAUAUUAUACAUUAACAAAACAAAUCAUUUUAUUCCCUUAGUAUAGGCGAUAAAAAAGGACCUCGGAGCCAUAGAGAAAGUACCGCAAGGGA